AGCAUAGAGGUGAAGCCAGAAGUUUACAUACACCGCCAAAACACACAGUUCAUUUUUUCCCUCACACUGAAGUCAAAUCAGACGAGAACGCUCCUGUUUCAGGUCAAAGGUUUACGAACACAAAAAAGUCCUUAAAGAAGGUCCGAAAGCCCAGUUGAUGAGGUUAUGGCUUUGGAAGCUUGUGAUGGGCUAACUGACAACAUGCGCCAGGUUGAGCAGUUGAAAAACUUGUGUGCAAGUAUGCGGAUCAUGGGACUCACACCACUCAGGAAAGAAGACAUGGGCUCUGUGUCCCAGAGAUUAUAUUGUGUUCUGGACCGAAAUGUGGGAAUCAACACCAGAACAAAAGUG